GAUGAAGAACGUAGCGAAAUGCGAUAAGUAAUGUGAAUUGCAGAAUUCAGUGAAUCAUCGAAUCUUUGAACGCACAUUGCGCCCGCUAGUAUUCUGGCGGGCAUGCCUGUCCGAGCGUCAUUUCAACCCUCAAGCCCCUCCGGGGGCCUGGCGUUGGGGAUCGGCCCCGCUCCGGCGGCCGGCCCCGAAAUGUAGUGGCGGUCUCGCCGCUGCCUCCUCUGCGUAGUAGAAACACCUCGCAUUGGGACGCGGCGGGCCCACGCCGUUAACCAGAUGAAUUUUUUCAAGGUUGACCUCGGAUCAGGUAGGAAUACCCGCUGAACUUAAGCAUAUCAAAAGCGGAGGA
rnacentral:misc_RNA from 1 species